AAAAGGGGUGUGUUAUUCACAUUUUGAUAGCAUGAGAUAGAUUUAAGCGUACAGCACAGAGUAAGCCAAGGCACUUUCUAUGGUUGUCCAGUGAGAUUGUGGGAAAAGGGCUCAUCUUUCCAUAAGCCUAUAUAUAACACGUGAAACUACAUAACCCCCAGAGGUAGUUGCCAGUACUAGUACUUACUCCAUUGUUAUUGAAGCUGUCGUCACCCACAUUGUUGCCAUCAAAGCUGCCUCUAUUCUGCAAGAAAAAGAUAUAAUUUUAUAUAUCCCCACAUGAAAAAGAUACAUUUUUUUUAUAUGUAUUACAGCCCUGCCAAAGCCAAUCAAAUGAUUCAGCAGCUCUGCAGCUACUUCACAACAGCUGGGGAUCCACCCAUUGACUCCAGUGGGAUUAUGCCUGAUAUAUAUCAGGUUAUGUCAAGAGAUGCCGAGAUACUUCAGCAAAUAGGAAACAAGUCACAACCACAGUGAUCUUGAACACAGAAAGCCACAUCAUCUUAAGUAGGAGGGAGAGGAGGCUGACUGGGCACACGUGCGGGCUCUUAGCACACGUGUGCCCCCUGCAACGUACCUGAGGCGGCAGAGGCUGAGAAGCAACAGCGGGGGCAGCAGCAGCUGAUCCCCCGAAGGUAAGCGGGGCAGGAGCCGGUGCAGCUGCAGAGGAUCUGGAGGGGAAGCCCCCGGAUCCCUCUUUGCUGAGCCGGGCAGGGAGUCGCGUGUGAACAGAGCAUGCAAACAGGUGCGCUCUGUAAGGGCGCUCUGGCGUUUGCAGCGGCGUUCGCGCAGGCAGAAGCAGGCAGGGCAGCAAGAGAGGCUUCCCAGGAGGGAGGAGACUCCACCAAAAAGGAAGGAGGUAAGGACUACCUACAAGCCAUGGUGAGGACUCGCAGUGCUGCCAGGGGUCCUGCCUCUGUGGUGCCACCCUUCCGGGGCUCCUCUGAGGCUGCCACCCAGACGGAGCCCUUGGGGGGCCUGGUGACCACCUGCCCCCGAGCUGUGGGGGUGGCUGGUUGGGAUCCCUGGGGGUGGGACUGAGGUCUGGUGACUCCCCGACCUGCCCCUCUUGUGAGCACCUUCAAGCUCUGGAGGGGCAGGUGGCAGAGCUCCAGGCCGAGGUGAGCAUGCAGCGGGGGAUCCAGACAGUGGAGGAUGAAAUUGACCUGUAUUUCCAUUCUCUGCAGGGACAGGAAUCCACCAGAGAGACCCCGCGUGCACAGCACCCAACUAAUCGGUGGCAGCAGGUACCUGUCAAGGCCAGGGCAGUCCGAACAACUGCUGUGCCUGCUCCCCAGACACCCCUCGGGAACAGGUACGCAGCCCUGGCUGCCCUGGAGGAGGAGGCAGAAGAACUGGUCCCCAGAGGAACUGAAGCCGCUUGACCUACAUCAGUGGCUCAGAAGAGGCAUACCCCGAGAAGAAGGAGAUGCAAAGUUCUGGUCAUCAGGGACUCCAUCCUGAGGGGAACCAAUGGUCCGAUCUGUCGCCCAGAGCCCUGUACACGGCAGGUCUGCUGCAUGCCUGGAGCGAGGAUUCGCAAUGUCACAGAGACCAUUGCUAAAAUCAUCAAGCUGUCUGACUACUACCCACUGGUUGUGGUCCAUGUGGAUACAAAUGAUACAUCCAAGAGCAAGCUGGAUAACAUCAUGGAGGACUACAAGGCCUUGGGACACCAACUGAAGAGGUUGGGAGCUCAGGUGGUAUUUUCCUCCAUUCUCCCAGUAAGUGGACGGGGUAGGCGUCAUGAGACCUGCAUUGACAUGGUUAACCGGCGGCUUCAGAGCUGGUGCCAUGAGGCAGGCUUUGGGUUUUUUGACAACGACCCAGGUUUUUGUAAGGAGGAUAUGCUGGGGUGGGAUGGGCUUCACCUCUUCCCUAAUGGCAGACGUAUCUUUUCCUCUAGGUUGGCUAAUCUCAUACGGCGGGCUUUAAACUAGCUUCGCCGGGGAAAGGGGCCGCUUCGAGUGGAGAGGAUGCUUCACCAGCACGCAGGGUGACAAGAGGAAGGGAAGCACAGGGACCGGGACUCGCCCACCGUGAUUCAAGAUGGACCCGAGGGGAAUGCCUCAAGACCUAAGGUUGAGGAGGACCGGGCUAGAGUGCUACUGGAGGGGCUGGAUGUGUUCAAAUCAGCAGGUCCAGAUGCUCUCUACCCCAGGGUUUUGAGGGAGCUAGCAGGGGUUAUUGCUGGGACCUUGGCAUGGCUUUACAAGCGCUUGUGGUGCUUGGGCCAGGUGCCAGAUGAUUGGAAGAUAGCCAGUGUGGUCCCCA